rnacentral:rRNA from 1 species
GAUGAACGCUAGCUACAGGCUUAACACAUGCAAGUCGCAGGACUGGCGCACGGGUGAGUAACGCGUAUCCCACCUUCCCAUCACUGCGGGAUAACCCGUUGACAGACGGCCUAAUACCGUAUUGUGAUAUAUGGGGAUGCGUCUGAUUAUCUUGUUGGCGGGGUAACGGCCCACCAAGGCGACGAUGAGUAGGGGUUCUGAGAGGAAGGUCCCCCAAAUUGGAACUGAGACACGGACCAAACUCCUACGGGAGGCAGGAGUGAGGAAGAGUGGUCAAUGGGCGAGAGCCUGAACCAGCCAAGUAGCGUGCAGGAGGACGGACUAUGGGUUGUAAAAUGCUUUUAUGGGGGGAUAGGUACCACAUGAAUAAGGACCGGCUAACUCCGUGCCAGCAGCCGCGGUAAUUC